CAGCAUUUCCGUAAACAGGUCAUAGUCUAAGGGCGUGGCGAGCUCCAAGGGGUCGCAGAUUAUUUUAUGAUACUAGACGUCACUGCAUCCUGCACGAUACGCUUUCUGGUUAAUGUUCAUCUUUCUGGCCUUGAAUUCAAACCAUACCUAUGCUUAGAAUGAAUUGAUAGACCUUUCCUUUUAUUCUGCUAGGGCUAAAGGUUUAUGAUAUUGAUAAUGUAUAACAACAUAUGCCAGUCCAAAAUAUCUAUUCUAAAUAAGAAGAGAAUCAGGAAGAGAAGAGGCCACAGGCCUCUUAGGAAUCGUAUUAGGAAGAGAAAGGAAAUUUCAUGUGACAUUUGGAAAAGUAAAUGCUGACUUGCUUAUAAUAAAUAAUUGAAAUAAUAUUGGUAUUCAGGACUGU
rnacentral:lncRNA from 1 species